ensembl:lncRNA
CUUUCUGUUUACAAUGAACUAUAGUGAUUUGGUGGUGGAGACAUGACAUUCAUGGACUCAGAAGAACGGGAAGGAGUGAUGCUGAGUGAGUUAUAGUCUAAUUGUCACCUGCUACUUGUGGAAGGAAGAGAUGUUUGGCAUGGCACUGAUCAAUGUGUAUAUUUACUGGGAAGUUUACCCCAGGAGAAAAGAGAAAACCAGCUGUGUGAAUGGAAUUUGGAGAAAGGUAUCCACAUGAUUCUGUAAAGAUAUAUGCUUGAAGGAAAGCUGGCAUCCAUCUUUGUUCCAGUUCCAAAGGUGCGGUGUUUGGUGAUUGGUGCUCCCCUGUGGCCCCUGUUUUCUAUCUGUGCACUUUUCUGCAAGAUGUUAAUUUGGAGUUCAAUUCUAUAUUACUAAUGAAAGAAAAAAAUGGAAAAAAAUCAAGGUUAGUAAAUAAAAGAG